rnacentral:lncRNA from 1 species
UUAAAUGAUAAUGUUUUUCCUUUCACAGAAAUCUCAGACUAAACAGCAGGGUGCUGAUGAGAAAACAAUGUGGUAGAGACUCCACAGUCUUAUCCGUGUUAACGUAACAGCCCUCUGGUUCUAUGAAAUCUGUACAUCUGCAAAUGCUAUGGAGGAUGCUUGCGGUCCUGAGCUGUGUCUGUAUUACCCUGUUAGGACAGAUGGGAGAAAGGAGGCACAGAGCAGAUCAAUGAAUUGUCCCAAAAGCAAGCAGGAAGAGUGUGGUUCAGUCAAAUUCUCACAGGGGUGAAAAUGCACUGUAAAUCUCGCUGACAGCUUUGUCAGUCAUUUGGGCACACAGUCAGCUGCAGCGUGGACACCUCUUAGCCCAGUAUGUGAGAAAGGACCAGUAUCCAUUUACUAAAAUGGUCUCUGAUCUAAAAUCUAUUCUUGUCAAUUAGUAUUUUUCCAUUGACAUCGAUGCACUUUGGAACUUGCUUGUGGAGGUGAGUUGUUUUUGUCUUGGGCAGCAUUAUUGGAUUGUUUCUUUAGAAUCACUUUAUAGAAACCUCUACAGCUUACAUAAAUGCAGAGAGUGAAUCUGGAUAUGUUCUGAAAGACUAAAAGGAAGCAGCAGGCUUACAAGUAAAUUGUAAACACUAUGAUCUCAUAAGUGACCUGAAGAAGCAAGUGUUAGACAAAAGUAUGCUCAAAUCUGCCACCCAAGCAAACUUACUCUAGAAAGACAGAUCAGUAGAUCUGUAAGUUAUUAACACUAAUAUUUUGCAUAUGUAUACAACAUAUCCUGCAUAGCUUUAUUAUAAAAUAGACAGAAAGAUUUCAAAGUCUCUCUUCAAGACACUGCCCAGUGUUAAUUUCAGUGUUAAUCUGUUAUGCUACUUUGGGCUAGAUUUAACCAUGUGUACUGUGAUUUCUGGAACUGAGAUCCUACUCUGCAUGAUUACCAUGCAGAUUAAAAUCCACGUUUGAGUUAUACACAGGGUUUCUAAUUCUAAGCUAAGCUCUUUCACCUUUUAACUUUGCUUAAAUGUUUUUUGCCAUGAAUUGACGCCCAAGUUCAACUAUAAGACCCUUCCCUAUAGCUUCCCUCCAUCAUAAAGCCAUUCAUUUGAAACCUUAAACACAUACACAGUGUACACAGGCAGUCAGUGAAUUUUAGGUACUGUAAAUGGUCCUAGGAUGAUACUGGUCAUGAUGAAAGUACUAAUAACCUUGUCAUACUAAGCCUUUGAAAUGGCAAAUUUUAUGCCUUAUCAGAGAAACAACAUUAAAAAAAAAUAAAGGGAAAGAAAAAAAUAGGGUUGGAUAACA